AGAAAUUUGGUGGUUGGAUCCCAGGUCUGGAGCUUAAACCUGAUGCGAUGAUAAAUAAAACUGCUUGGAGUAGAGCAACGUCUCAGGAGAGGAUGGAGGGAAAGAAAUGAAAGCAUCACCUGAUGAGCGUACGUGCCCCGGUUAAAGAAUGAGUGUAAGAGCUGAAUCUGAACAGAAACCCUCAUAUCCUGGAUCCUCGGAGGAUAAGAAUCCGCUUGCCAGUGCAGGAGACAUGGGUUCGAUCCCUGGUCCGGGAAGAUUCUACAUGCCAUGGGGCAACAAAGCCCAUGUGCCACAACUACUGAAGCCCACUGACUUGGAGCCCACACGCAGCAGCUAUUGAAGUCCGUGUGCCUAGAGCCUGUGCUCUGCAACGAGGGACACCCCUACAACCAGAAGACUACCCUCCACCAGAAGAGCAGCCCCCACCUGGCCGCAGCUAGAGAAAGCCUGCUCACAGCAAUGAAGACCCAGCACAACUAAAAAAAGAAUAACAGAUAUAUAUGCUAUCUUCACUAAAAAAUAAAAUGUAUACCAUUAGGUUUUUGACCAAAUAAAUAUUGAGAAGUA